UCCAAGUGGAGGGGGAGACUCAGCCACGCGUAGUCCUGGGCGUUAGAGCAGUAAUGCCCCCAAAACACAGGGCUGCGAAUGGGGUCUGUUGGGGGGAGUGCGCGCCGGAGAUCUCCAAUCAGCCGCCCCCGCAGGCGGAGCGCCCGCCCAACACCGAGAGUGAUCUGCGACCGAGCUGACUGCGGCUUGGGGAGGCUUGAGUAUAGAAGAGGCCAUCGAGCAAUCACCGGAGCUAGGGAUCCCAGCCUCCGGGGCUCCGAGGCUCAGACUACGGGCGCCCCCCGCCACACCCAAACACGGACCCCUCUUUUCCCGUCCCUGGCUCUCCGCACCUGAACUUCGGGGGAGCCCGCGCCGCCAAACUUUCCGCAGACUUGCAGCGAACUCCGGCCCCGGCCGCGCACCGGGCCCCGGGGGAGGAGAGGGAGCAGGUGACUGGAAGUCCUGGGUGCCUCUGAAACAAGGCCAGCUCCCCUCAACUUUUACUGCAACACCCUGCAAGCAGCCACACCUUUCAAAGAUGGCAGAGAUGUGGAAUGGAGGUGGGGGGAGACUGCCCAGAAGGACCUAACCAGUAUUGCCCCUUAAUUAGCUGGGGGAAGCUCCAGAAGCCCGUCAGGCUGCUGGCCCCGGCCAGGAUCCUGAAUGGCUUUUUAGCACGCUCUAAGUUCUACAUUUGGGAGCUACCAGAUGACAAACCUGACUGGCUGAAAGCCGGACUGGCCUUGGGUACCUCCAUCUUCUUGUGGAUCUAUCUCAUCAAACAUAAUGAAGAUGUUUUAAAAUAUAAAAGAAGAAAUGGGUUGGAAUAAACUUUUGAUAUACUAAUACAGUAUGUCCCAUAUAGUGAUUAUAACUGUUCCUCUGGAUUUACCAAUCUGUUGAGUUAUAAACAUAAGAGAAAAAG